rnacentral:misc_RNA from 1 species
AGCCAAUUGGGUAAUUAAUUUAUUGAAUUUAUUAAGGUGAUCUUUGACAUCAAUACCUUCUUCCAUUCGAAGUUGGUACAACUCUUUCAAAUAUGAACGAUUUAUGAGUGACUUUGAUAUGUAUAAACUUUCUAAUUUCUUCCAGAAAAUAACUGGUGAAGUCUCUUUCAAGACAUUAUACUUCACAUCAGGGGCUAAUGUCAAAUUUAAUUGUACUUACUACCCUUUGUUGAAAUUUCUCUCAAUCAUCAUCUUUCAUGAUUGCCAAUUGUUUUUCGUUUAAAGUUUUGAUUAAUCCUUGUUGCACAAGGACA